ensembl:lncRNA
CCAGAAAAACACAGGACACGGCAUAGGACACAUUAUACAUUUGCAUUUUGGCAUCAGCCAAAAUAUACAUCAAUACGAUGAGGUAUAUAGUAAAAAACACAUUCCUUCAGUGAGUGAUUACUGUAUUGUCUCAGUGCUUCCACAUUAACUUAGGGAGAAGAGAGGAGUCUGGCAUCUGAACCCAAUCAAAUAGAAAUAAAGAUGAAAAUUGGAGAUCAAAAGCUAAUAAUGACAAGGAAACAUCUCAACAGGAACCUUAUCUCCAAGGCCGGGAUGUCUUUUGGAAUAAAAAUGGCUGCUAAUGACUUCUCUCCAUAUAACCAAACACGUUGGCUGCUCCCAUCCAGACGCCUGCCACUUAUGCUUCCCCGCAGUUUUCAUUUGCUUUAUUGCUUUCAGAUGUAGUUGGGUCUGAGUUCCUCUGGUAGCUGUGUCAUUGCCACCAGCACUGGGGGGAUGCGGCUUCGGCUGACGGGGCUGCGAGGCGUCAGCGUUCCUCUCCAGGGACUGUCUGACACGAAGGCAGAGCUGCCUAACUGCAGCCGGAUAAUUAAAAACGGUCGAUGCUAUUAAAUGAACACAAGUCCCGACAGCUCCGGGUUUAUUCUCAUGUCACAAGGCUCACUCAGGCGUCAGGAGGGGAAGCUAGCAAUGGAGCAACUGGUGGGAAUGACACCUACAAAGAGAACUACUUCUUUUGUACGCGCUACUACAGAUCUGAAAGGACCUUUUAGGUUUGCCCUUUUGAUUUAGUAGUGCAAGUUAGCUAAAACUCUGCAUAUCUUUUCCUUCUGGUUUGAAACACUCCUCCACAUUCAUUCUGCUCCUGCCCGGGCUCCUCAGAAAUCUUUCCAGGGAAAACAGUCCUGGAUUUAUUUACAGCACAUCAUUAUUUGUUUAAAGAAACUCUUUUUGGGGAGAAAGCAAAGAGAGAUCUGAGCUCACCAUUGAGGGCCUCAAAAUGAGCUCUGUGCUUCCAAGGUGGGGGUAUUUUAAUUGAAAGGUUUACAGAGAAAGAAGAAUGCGAACGCAGGGUGAGAGCCUGUUUCUCUCAAUGUUUUCCAUGUGCCGUGUUUCUGUAGAGCAAAAUCCAGCAAGACCCCACAGAGAACUGUAGGCAAACUUUCUCUCCUUGGCAAUGCUCCCACCUUGAAAGCAAAACCAGGUUGUUAUUUGUUUAUGUGUUUGUUUUGUUCUCUGGAGUUUCCUCAGGUUCCUUCUGCUGUUUACAAAUCCUCCCACACGUGCACUUGCAUCCUUGCUUGUUUUCUACCUCAGCUGAGAAACACUGAUGAAUGAAAACGAGGCCUUUCGAUGCCUCGGGACAUCCCAUGGGAAGUG